GACGAACGCUGGCGGCGUGCUUAACACAUGCAAGUCGAGCGGUAAGGCCCUUUCGGGGGUACACGAGCGGCGAACGGGUGAGUAACACGUGGGUGACCUGCCUCUAGCUCUGGGAUAAGCCCGGGAAACUGGGUCUAAUACUGGAUAUGACUCCAUGACGCAUGUUGUGGGGUGGAAAGCCUUGUGCGGCUAGAGAUGGGCCCGCGGCCUAUCAGCUUGUGGUGGGGUGAUGGCCUACCAAGGCGACGACGGGUAGCCGGCCUGAGAGGCGACCGGCCACACUGGGACUGAGACACGGCCCAGACUCC
rnacentral:rRNA from 1 species